CCUACGGGCGGCUGCAGUGGGGAAUAUUGCACAAUGGGCGCAAGCCUGAUGCAGCCAUGCCGCGUGUGUGAAGAAGGCCUUCGGGUUGUAAAGCACUUUCAGCGGGGAGGAAGGCGGCGAGGUUAAUAACCUCAUCGAUUGACGUUACCCGCAGAAGAAGCACCGGCUAACUCCGUGGCCAGCAGCCGCGGUAAUACGGAGGGUGCAAGCGUUAAUCGGAAUUACUGGGCGUAAAGCGCACGCAGGCGGUCUGUCAAGUCGGAUGUGAAAUCCCCGGGCUCAACCUGGGAACUGCAUUCGAAACUGGCAGGCUAGAGUCUUGUAGAGGGGGGUAGAAUUCCAGGUGUAGCGGUGAAAUGCGUAGAGAUCUGGAGGAAUACCGGUGGCGAAGGCGGCCCCCUGGACAAAGACUGACGCUCAGGUGCGAAAGCGUGGGGAGCAAACAGGAUUAGAUACCCCGGUAGUC
rnacentral:rRNA from 1 species